AAUGCUCACAAGCACUGCUGAUCUACCAAGAUCUUUAGGAGAGCAUAAAUCAGACUAAAUAGCCCGUGGGAGCCCCAUUUCUUUGGUUUGGAAUCUGUCAAGGAAACUCAUGCAGUCAGAUGGAAUUCCAGGAGAUUUGGAGACAGGGGAUGAAAACACUCCCUCACUGCCUGGCCCAACUGUCCUUGACAAUGUCUUGCCAGCUGAGGACAGUCCUGAAGAUUUGAAUACCAAACUCUCACUUUGCAGCGAGCAGCCACCCCCAGAUUACAUGAUCAACACAGAAACAGAACUAAGCUUUGACGAUGGCAAGGUUGAUCACGAGCAGGAGGAGAAUGAGGAUUAUUCAGCCAUCUCCACAGGAUAUUUUCCAUAUUACAGAACAUGUGAGAAGCAUAUUGUCCAGCCACUCACAUGUGGCAUGAACGCAGAGGACAAGAAGCCUGAUAAUGACUGGAAAGAUGAAAGAGAAGGUGAAUGCGCAGAGGAUGGUGGAGAUGUUGAGAAGACCACCCCACCAAGUCUGGAGACAGACAAGAGGGCACUUUCCUCCAUGAGCACUGCAGAGCCAACAUCCCAUGAGCUCCUAAGGGACCGUGCCUCUGAAAAGUGCCUGCCAGCCACCUCCUUCCCCAGCUGGCUGCUGGGCCUGCACCAGCCCUUUUCUUGUGGCGGGUAUUUCCCUUACUACAGGACAGAAGGAGAGCUCUGCAUCAGCCCGGCUCUGUGUGACAGGUUUCUCACCAGGAUAGAGAUGUUGGAGAAUGAGGAGGGAGGACAAGAGGGAGAAACCAGAAUUUGGAAUUUUGGUGCCAGCUGCUUGGUGUGCUGAGAACAAAGCAGCGAGUUUGUCAGCAAAAGGCAGAGACUGAUUCAAUGCGGGCACAAAUGAGAAGUUCUUGAAAACUACAACCACAUGAACAUCUGCAUGAGUACAGAAUAAAAAUGAUCCUCCUUUUGAAAACGACA
rnacentral:lncRNA from 1 species